UGACCUCAGUUUAGAUGAGACUACCCGCUGAACUUAAGCAUAUCAGUAAGCGGAGGAAAAGAAACUAACAAGGAUUCCCUUAGUAGCGGCGAGCGAACAGGGAUGAGCCCAGCACCGAACCUCGCGCCCGGUUGAGCGGGUGCCGAGGAAUGUGGUGUUCGGGAGGAUCGUGCGCGUCUGUCCGGUAUCUAUCGUCCAAGUCUCCAUGAACGGGGCGAGCAACCCACAGAGGGUGUCAGGCCCGUAGAUAAGACGAGCCGAGACCGUGCAUCGGAUCCCUUCCCAAGAGUCGGGUUGCUUGAGCGUGCAGCCCUAAGCGGGAGGUAAACUCCUUCUAAGGCUAAAUAUCGCCACGAGACCGAUAGCGAACAAGUACCGCGAGGGAAAGUUGAAAAGAACUUUGAAGAGAGAGUUCAAGAGUGCGUGAAACCGUUCAGGGGGUUAAACGGGUGGGCCCUCGAAGGUCGAACAAGUCCCCGCUCCCGGCACUUGGUUGUAUGCCCUUAACGCUGCAUGGAGACUGCCUUAAUUGGUGGCUCUCUAGCAUAAGUCGUUCUGCGAUCGCAAUAGCCACGCCAAGGUCCGCAAGUGGGGGGCCUAGUAGGACUCCGCGACCGACUGGGUGUCUGUACACGGGGCGUCCGUA
rfam:Daphnia pulex DAPPTscaffold_1912_Cont13623, whole genome shotgun sequence.